CGAGUAAACCGGCGCACGGGUGAGUAAUACGUGGAUAACCUGCCUUGGAGACUGGGAUAACCCGUCGAAAGACGGACUAAUACCAGAUAAGACCACGAGCAGUUCGCUGUUCGGGGCAAAAGAUGGCCUCUGCUCCUGCAAGCUAUCACUCCGGGAGGGGUUCGCGGCCUAUCAGCUAGUUGGCGGGGUAAUGGCCCACCAAGGCUAAGACGGGUAGCUGGUCUGAGAGGAUGGUCAGCCACACUGGGACUGAGACACGGCCCAGAGUCCUACGGGAUGCAGCAGUCAGGAAUAUUGCGCAAUGGAGGAAACUCUGACGCAGCGACGCCGCGUGGGUGAUGAAGGCCUUCGGGUCGUAAAGCCCUGUCGGAGGGAAAGAAAAGCUCGCUGGCUAAUAUCCAGCGAGCCCUUGACGGUACCCUCAAAGGAAGCACCGGCUAACUCCGUGCCAGCAGCCGCGGUAA
rnacentral:rRNA from 1 species